rnacentral:rRNA from 1 species
GACAGAGGGUGCAAACGUUGUUCGGAAUUACUGGGCGUAAAGAGCUCGUAGGCGGUUUAUCGCGUCUGCCGUGAAAGUCCGGGGCUCAACUCCGGAUCUGCGGUGGGUACGGGCAGACUAGAGUGAUGUAGGGGAGACUGGAAUUCCUGGUGUAGCGGUGAAAUGCGCAGAUAUCAGGAGGAACACCGAUGGCGAAGGCAGGUCUCUGGGCAUUAACUGACGCUGAGGAGCGAAAGCAUGGGGAGCGAACAGG